AACGACUCUCGGCAACGGAUAUCUCGGCUCUCGCAUCGAUGAAGAACGUASCGAAAUGCGAUACUUGGUGUGAAUUGCARAAUCCCGUGAACCAUCGAGUCUUUGAACGCAAGUUGCGCCCRAAGCCAUUAGGCCRAGGGCACGUCUGGCUGGGUGUCACGCAACG
rnacentral:rRNA from 1 species